AUGGCGACGGUAAUGCCGGGGGUCUUGCUGCGCCUGCUGCAGGCGAUGCACACGGACGAGCGGGUCACCGGCGAGCACCGCUCCCCCGCGCUCCAGGUCACGGCGGUCGUGCCCGCGCUCACGGCCUCCACCGCCGACUCCCUGCUAUGCCCCUCCAACGGCUUUCUCCUCCAGCUCUCCGACGGCCUCCACUCCACCUACGUCCAGCCCUCACCCGCCGACGCCGACGCGCUCCUCUCCGCGCGGCCCCACAUCGUCGGCCACCUGGUCCACCUCGACCGCCUCCGCUUCGCCAGCCCGGUUCCCCGCGCCGUCGGCCUCCGCCCCGUUCCGUCCUCCCGAUCCCUCCCCUGCGUCGGCAACCCGGAGCCGCUCAUUGUCCGCUCCGCCGCGUGCUCCCGGGGCUACGUCAUCAGGCCGGAUUCCUCGCCCGACGCUGCGCCGCCGCUCAUGCCGUCCGGCUCCGGCAGUGCGCCACCGUCUGAUGCGAUGGAUGCUGCCGUCAAAAGGACCGUUCUUGCUCCCAGGAAUGGCCCCGAGGCCGCGGCGCUGCCAGGCGGUUCGGCCGUGAAGCGGCGGUUCUCGUCUCCGGCGCCGGCCAAGCAGCGAGAUCCGUCGCCUGCGGUGAAGGGAGCGUCCCGAGCGGCGUCUCCCUCUGUCAAGGGCGCCUCCAGAGCGUCGUCACCUGCCGUGAGAGGCACGUCCAGGUCGUCGUCGCCAGCCCCCUCGAAGUGUGUGGUUCCCAGCCUUGUUGCGGCCGAGGAGGAGAACCGCAGGGUCGCAAAGGAGCCAGCCAUUAUCGUGCCAUCGAGGUACAGGCAGCCUUCACCAGGAGGGAGAAGAGGAGCGGCCUCUCCAGGUGGCGGUGGCAGGCGGGGCUCCCUCUCACCCGGUUCCCGGAGGCUUUCAGGAGAAGGGGGCAGCAAGAAGAAGGUCGGGGUGUUGGUGUCUGGUAUCUCGAAGAUGACAGAUUUGGGGAGCGGGUCAGCCAUGAAGCCGGGGAGGAAGAGCUGGGACGAGUCGGCAAUGGCUCUUGCAGCUGCGGCCGCUGGCACGGUGAAGAAGUCCAAGGUCAAGGUGGACAGAGAUACUAUUCUGAGGACUCAGGAAGCAAUGUCACGGCGACUUAGUGAUGCUACAACAGAGCUAUCCAGUAACGAUGACACCUCUGUUGAUGAGAAGCCAAAACCACGAAAGAAGACAGAGUCUAGUGCAGGGAAGGCAAAAACAGCUCCAAAAAUCAUACUUCAUGAUGCUAAAUGGACUGAUGGCAGCGUUCCACUGGUUACAGUUUCAGAUAAACUUUCGAAGAUCGGAAAGGAAGCUGAUCCUCCUAAUGCCGUCUUCGUUUUGUUAUUGAUUUUACAGGAAGCUGCUGAACGGAGAGAUGCAGCAGCAGCCGCUGCAGCUGACGCUCUGCAGGAGGCAUUGAUCACUGAUUCAGUUAUCAGAAAUCUGAGCAAGUUCUCUGAACUUUGUUCGUUGUCGAAGACCGCGAAUCCACUCCCAACUGUCGAUUGUUUCCUUGCUGUCUAUGAAGACACUCUCAAGUGGAAGAAAAUCGCCGAGUCAAUGGCCACCAACGGAGCAGACGAAGCUGCAUUCUGGGAGAAAUCAGCCACUCAUUGGGUUGAGGCAGCAUUAGCAACCGAACUGGAGGUCCUCAAGCUUGUUAACAGCGCCACUGGAUCCAUCUACCAGAAGAAGAGCACUGAAAAGCCCAAGGCUCCUGCAGUGGAACCACCAAGAACAAGCCUGUCCAAGAGGCCAUCGCUUGGAGCUUCUGCAAAGGUCCAGUCCAGGGCAUCACCUCUCCCUGCUGCAUGGCCUAAAACUCCGGGCAUGAACGAGACGGUUGAGCUUGCCAACACCUUGUGCCGAGAGAUGCAUGCCUGGUUUCUGAAAUUUGUGAACGAGGCCAUGGAUGUAGGCUUCCACCUGUUUGAAGACCAGAACAUUGCAACUAGGGGAAAGCAGAGCGGCCAUAUCACGGUGGUCCUGUCGCAGUUCAAGAGGAUCAGCGACUGGCUCGACGGAGUCGGUAAGAUCGCCGACGAGGAUGCGACCAAGGACAAUGUAGAGCGGUUGAAGCGCAAGAUCUACCAGUUCGUCAUCAGCCGCAUGGGGUCUGCCUUCGAGAGCUCGGUCUCAGUUUCAGCAAAGAGUUGA
rnacentral:rRNA from 1 species